ACGAAGUCAUUGGAAGGAAGUAAUUACCAACGAAAAUUGGUGUCCUCCUUCUUCAGCAAGAUAAUCUGCUUCAGCAUUAACCUCCCGGUAGUCAUGGCGGAUUUUAGUAGUUAUAGUUUUAAAAAUAUCUCACAUCUCAUGAAAAAUUAUAGUCAGCCUCUAUGGAACAUUAGCUUCGCCUUUAUGCAAAGCUACAAUGUUUGUUGAAUCUCCUUCUAUAAUCUUCGCUCCCCCAAAUCUCGACAAGAGUUUAAUGCCUUCCAAAAGCCCCCCAGCUUCAGUGUCAUUAACUGUAGUAACACCACAAAGGCCAGAACAAAUAGCAUGUCCCAUAUGGUCUCUUAUCAAUCCACCAGAACCAGUUGUGCCUGGGUUUCCAAAAAAACUUCAAUAAACAAUCAGUUUGUAUGCAUUAGCAAUUGGUGGUGUCCAAACAACCUCCAUUCGAUUUGAUCUAGGAGAAGAUAAAGUAGCCACAACCCUAGGAUUUACAAUGAUUUGAC
rnacentral:lncRNA from 1 species